GAUGAACGCUGGCGGCGUGCCUAAUACAUGCAAGUCGAGCGAACGGACGAGAAGCUUGCUUUUCUGAUGUUAGCGGCGGACGGGUGAGUAACACGUGGAUAACCUACCUAUAAGACUGGGAUAACUUCGGGAAACCGGAGCUAAUACCGGAUAAUAUUUUGAACCGCAUGGUUCAAAAGUGAAAGACGGUCUUGCUGUCACUUAUAGAUGUAUCCGCGCUGCAUUAGCUAGUUGGUAAGGUAACGGCUUACCAAGGCAACGAUGCAUAGCCGACCUGAGAGGGUGAUCGGCCACACUGGAACUGAGACACGGUCCAGACUCCUACGGGAGGCAGCAGUAGGGAAUCUUCGGCAAUGGGCGAAAGCCUGACGGAGCAACGCCGCGUGAGUGAUGAAGGUCUUCGGAUCGUAAAACUCUGUUAUUAGGGAAGAACAUAUGUGUAAGUAAAUGUGCACAUCUUGACGGUACCUAAUCAGAAAGCCACGGCUAACUACGUG
rnacentral:rRNA from 1 species